CCGCCCCCUCCGCCCCCCACGCCGGUCCCGCCUGGUCUUCGCCUCCGCGGGCGGGAGUCAUGGCGGUAGCCGUGGCGGCGGCGUGGCUGCUGCUGCUGUGGGCCGCGGCCUGCGUGCAGCGGGAGCGCGACUUCUACGACUUUAAGGCGGUCAACAUCCGGGGCAAGCUGGUGUCGCUGGAGAAGUACCGCGGCUCGGUAUCCCUGGUAGUGAACGUGGCUAGCGAGUGUGGCUUCACAGAACAGCACUACCGAGCCCUGCAGCAGCUACAGAAGGACUUGGGUCCCCACCAUUUCAAUGUGCUUGCCUUCCCCUGCAACCAGUUUGGCCAGCAGGAGCCAGACAGCAACAGGGAGAUUGAGAGCUUUGCCCGCCGCACCUACAAUGUUUCUUUCCCCAUGUUCAGCAAGGUUGCAGUCAUUGGCACUGGUGCCCACCCUGCCUUCAAGUACCUGACUGUUCUUUCCCAGGCCCCUUAGUUAGAGAUCAGAUGUGGCCUUGCUUUGGAGGCACUUGGCAAGAUCUUAAAGUUACACAAAGAGACUUCUGGGAAGGAACCCACCUGGAACUUCUGGAAGUACCUAGUGGCCCCAGAUG